UACGGAGGGAGCUAGCGUUAUUCGGAAUUACUGGGCGUAAAGCGCACGUAGGCGGCUUUGUAAGUCAGAGGUGAAAGCCUGGAGCUCAACUCCAGAACUGCCUUUGAUACUGGCGAGCUUGAGUUCGGGGAGAGGUGAGUGGAACUGCGAGUGUAGAGGUGAAAUUCGUAGAUAUUCGCAAGAACACCAGUGGCGAAGGCGGCUCACUGGCCCGAUACUGACGCUGAGGUGCGAAAAGCGUGGGGGAGCAAACAGG
rnacentral:rRNA from 1 species